rnacentral:misc_RNA from 1 species
CCGCGAAGUUGGUGCGAUUUUGAAGAGGUAAUAUGUCGGUUGGGCUGUUAACCAAUCUCUCAAUUCACGAUCAAGGAAGAGAUGUAAGCUCUUGUGAUCCCUUAACAAUGUUUCUUCAAAUGUAGCCUAUUUCGGAUUCGAUGAUGGAGACAUCGACAUUGACACUGAUUCACAAAUACACAGCGGCUGCUCUGUGUUCUUUUGCUCUUCACCAGUCUCAGAUCUACCAAAAGAGACCUUCGAAUCUUCUUCAGCCUCUCCACAAAGAACCAAUUGAAUUGAAGGAGUAGUAAGCGUUGAUUGCUUGGAUUGGACGAUCAAGCUCGGGAUGGGUUGAAGGAAACAGCUGGUUCUUCGCAAUUGAGGCAUCAUGUUGAAGCGAACCUCAUAAAAAAGCACAGAGCACACAUCCCAAGAUCUCCAAUGAGGAGAAAGUCCCUAAUGAAUCUGGAGUUGGAACUUCAGAAAGCCAUGGAAGAGAGAAACUUUCUCAGUUACCAGAGGAAGCCGUGAGAUAAUGGUUGCUCUCUCUAAUGGAUGUAGUAAAAAGGAACCCAACAAAGGAGAUGGGAACAUAAUUUCAGAAAUGACCUUGGAUAAGUUAAAAGUGUGGAGGUAUCAUUGCUGCAGCCGCUACUGGAGGAACCUUGAUGGCUGUUACUGGUGUUGCAG